AAAAACCCAAUUCACUUGUACACCACCUUAGAGAGAACAUAAAGAAAGAGCCUAACGAGAAAAAUGCAAUCGGCGAAACAGAAGCUAAGCGAUAUGGCUAGUACCGCUAAGGAGAGGAUGGUGGCGGAGCAGGCAAUGGCACGUACAAAAGAGGAAAAAGAGAUAGCACACCAACGUCGAAAGGCCAAGGAAGCAGAGGCUAACAUGAAUAUGCACAUGGCUAAGGUUGCUCAUGCCGAAGAAAAGCUUAUGGCUAAGCAAUCUCACUACCACCUUUCUCAAGGUCACGUGACUCAUGGCGCCCCUGUGCCGGCUCCUGCGCCAGUUAUAGGACAUGGUUACCGGCACAAUUCUCCCGGGGUCAAAUCUGUACCACCCGCGGCGUACCUUCCUCCUCCGACGGGACCUCAUCAUCAUCAUCCUUAUGGAAAUGUUUAGUGACUUCUUUAUAAGUUAAAAAAAAAAAAACUGGAAUACUUUGAAUUGUUAGUAAGACGUUGAGAUGACUUACUUUAUAAACGUUUUAAUUACUGAAGUUAUCUCAUAAUUAGGAGUGAGCGCGGAACCUGAAGUUCGUAACUUCAGAUUUGGGUUCGUGUCUAGAUAAUUUUUUACCCGAUUUGGGCCCGCUUAGUUGUAAGUAACAAAAAUAAUUAAAUUGAAAAACAACUAAUAUAAUUAAAAUAAUAUCACAUAAUACAAUAAUCUUUGUAAUACGUACCAUUUGAAGAAGUGAUUUACCAACCAGCAGCAUCGUUGACAAAAAAAAAAAAAACCAGCAAACCUCCAUUUUUGAUAAUCAAUGAUUUUGAUAAAAUAUGACAACUAAUCAAAAAUUUUAACUUAUAUCUCCUGUACAAUGUGGAGGGUUUAUAGUGGAUCCGGGCUCAUGAUAGGCCGAGCUUUCUACGGGCCAGGCAGCAGGCUGAGUAAUAGUAACCCUAAUUAUUAAUUAACAAUUUAACAUCUAAAAGUAAAAACGCUAACCUAGGGAUACCGGUUCUUUCCUAAAUUUUACUUUAACCGGGUUGGCAAGUCUAAACCGUCGCUUAACCGGCUUUCUUAUCUUAGCCUGUAAUUAUAAAACCGCUCCUCCACUCAACGAACUCUAUUAGGGUAAAGCGGUACGCCGUUUACAUUGUUACUCACGAAACAGAGCUCUGGAUCCAUCUCAAUAAGCUCGAGCAAGAAUCGAUCCAUUGAGAUUGCGAAGAAAGAAACUUCAUAAUCUGAAAAGGUGGGAUGGAAAAGGAUCUCAGGGUAUUUGGAUCCGGUUAAGUAUAUAACAAAAUGUUUAUGCAGAUAUCAUUUACUCUCUCUCUUUCUUGAUUUAUCUUUUCUUGAGAAGUUGCUGAAGAUUGUUUUAUGAGAGUAUUAUAAGUCACCGCAUUUGGUAAUCAAGUGUUGCUUUCCCAAACGAAGUGACUUAUAAAGAUCUCAUGAUUAAUCGAUUUUUUGCAAGGUCUUGAAGAGAGUAAAGGACCAUGAUGUCCUGAGUGAAAAUGGAUUUAUCUUUCUUUUUUUUUGUCUUAUAAUGUGCCAGGUCUCUUUGUGUGUUACUGUCCACUCUUUCUUUUUGUCUGGGUGAUAACAAGAUAAAUCCCAAGCAUCAUCCACCUUAUUAGCUUUGACAUAAACGAAGGCUUGUAAAAUGGAAGAUUCUUGGGAUUUAUCUUUUUGUAGUCUCCUCUUCUAAAAGAGUAAUGUCAACAUACACGGAAAUGAUUUCAAAUUCUAAAAGUGUUGCUUAAUGUUACAACAUACACGACAAUGAUUUCAGGCUUGUGGAGGAACAUGAUGCUUCUGUUUAUGGAUUUGUAAGCCAGAAACUUGAUAUUUGCUAAAGAAGUGUUAACCGUUUGCAUGUGUUAUAACUGAGUGUUUACACCCACUUUAUGUAUAAAUGGAAUAAGGUUGCUUUCCCCCAUCA